rnacentral:antisense_RNA from 1 species
CGUUAUGGGCGGAGUCGUGUGGGCACUCGCAAGAGUGGCCGGUUCCAAGACCCGGUAGGCCAACCCGCACGGCUCUGCUCACCCCA